rnacentral:sRNA from 1 species
GUCGUGAGAUGUUGGGUUAAGUCCCGCAACGAGCGCAACCCCCGUCGCAUGUUGCCAGCAUUUAGUUGGGGACUCAUGCGAGACUGCCGGUGACAAACCGGAGGAAGGUGGGGAUGACGUCAAGUCCUCAUGCCCCUUAUGUUCAGGGCUACACACGUGCUACAUUGGCGCGUACAGAGGGCUGCGAUACCGCGAGGUGGAGCGAAUCCCUUAAAGCGCGUCUCGGUUCGGAUUGCAGGCUGAAAUUCGCCUGCAUGAAGGCGGAGUUGCUAGUAAUCGCGGAUCAGCACUGCCGCGGUGAAUACGUUCCCGGGCCUUGUACACACCGCCCGUCACGCCAUGGAAGUGGUGAGCGCCCGAAGUCCGUGUCGGAACCCGCAAGGGGCCAAGCGGCCGAAGGCGAGCAUCAUGACUGGGGCGAAGUCGUAACAAGGUAGCCGUAGGGGAACCUGCGGCUGGAUCACCUCCUUAACGGAGCUGCGAGUAAGGCAGAACAAGCCUGGGCAACCAGGAGUUACUUUGCCGGAAAGCACUCACGUGUCGCUCGCCUCGUAACAUCCCGAUCUCAAUCUCGAUUUCCAUAUAUAAAAGAGCCCGACUCAUGAACCGCCCAAGCGGAGAAUGAAUCGGGGCUCGAAAGAACAUGAAGGACUUGAGGCUAAGUCCUUAGGCACCAAGCGACAGAGCGCUUAUAUCUCGAAAGCUUUUUGACAAUGGAAAGUAGUAGUGAUCGUGGGAUUUGAGUACUGGGACCUGAUAAGAUCCUGGUACUGAGAAUCAACACUAGUGACACAAUUUCAUAAGAAGCUCUGACCUUCGGGUUGGGGCUCGAUUUGUCUCAAAGAGCUUAAUCGCUCCGAGAGUCCAAAUGAUUGUAUCACUCGUUAGAUCGCGCGUGUUAUUGUUUGAACAAAUGGAACAAGUUAUUUGAUCAAGCGAAAGAAAGUAUGUGGGGGAUGCCUAGGUACACAGAGGCGAUGAAGGCCGUGGUAAGCUGCGAUAAGCCAGGGGGAGCUGCACACAAGCUAUGAACCCUGGAUUG